GCCUCAUCUGAGCGAGGUGUCACUCCGCUGUGGUCGCCCUGAGGUCAGCGCGCAGCUCGGCUGGCGCGUGAGACGUACGCAGUUUACGCGCGGGGUUCUUUGCUGUUCAAGAGGCCGUGGUGCUGACAUGCUGUUACAGCGCAGCUGGAAAGUUCCGAAGCUACAUUUAAACAUUUAAAUGCGUUUAGAGUUCAGAUUGGGGACAGCGCGCCUGUGAGCCAGCCCUCCGGUGGUUUUUCACCUUCGGCCCUGAACGCAGAUUAUCUUCUUCAGCUCAGAUUUUUUUCCCCACAUCUACUCGAUGCCUCCAGUCAGCCUGGACGUCGAGGAGUCGCCAUCAUGUCGCGUCGUUAGGUGAAGGAGUUUUGCGGCACCGUUUUACGCAAAUCUGGAGCCGCGCGCACGCAUUAGGCCUGCGGGAGACAGUCUGAUGGAGCGGGAUGAGAUGCAGCCCGGAUCCUAAUGGCACCGUUUCCGGUUGGAGGAUCUUAAAUUCUGUGGUGGAACGGAGACAUGUCCAGUGUGUCCCCCGUCUCUGGAACGCUGACCGCUGAAGACAGACACUCGUUCCCCACGACCCUACAGAGGACGAGCAAUCACUGUUUCUGAUCGCCUUUCAGAGUGGGAGGACUCCAAAGCACUUUACACUACAGUGCAUCAUUCAUCCAUUCACACUGAGCUACAAUGUAGUCACUGCUGCCCUGGGGCCGCUGGUCCCUCCGGCCACCACCAGCAGGCAAGGACAUAAGCAGCAUUCCCAGCGGGGAGCAGGGCUAGACCCUACAACCCUCCGAUUACUGGACAAUCCUUCCUGGUGGUGUCUCAGGUCCUCCUGGAUCUCAGAAAUGAUCCGAGGCUGGAUGAUGGGAGCACCCCCCCCCACACACACACACACACGCGCGCACACACACACGCGCGCGCACACACACACACACACACACACACACACACACACACACACACACACACACACACACACACACACACCAGCUGGAGUACAGGCAGCAGGAGCUACAGGUUCAUUAAUACUUAAUCAUUUAUUUUCACAGAUUAAUUCCCAAAUUCUCAACAGCAUUGAUGAGUUUCUGCACUGAUCAGUUACAUUUACUGUUAAUGUGUGUUUAAUAAUUCACAAUAUUUCAUUGUUAUGAUGUAAAUGACCUCAUGACGACAAUAAACAUGUUUGAAUCAA